rnacentral:rRNA from 1 species
AACGAACGCUGGCGGCAUGCCUAACACAUGCAAGUCGAACGAGACCUUCGGGUCUAGUGGCGCACGGUUGCGUAACGCGUGGGAACCUGCCCUUAGGUUCGGAAUAACUCCCCGAAAGGGGUGCUAAUACCGGAUAAUGUCUUCGGACCAAAGAUUUAUCGCCUUUGGAUGGGCCCGCGUUGGAUUAGCUAGUUGGUAGGGUAAAAGCCUACCAAGGCGACGAUCCAUAGCUGGUCUGAGAGGAUGAUCAGCCACACUGGGACUGAGACACGGCCCAGACUCCUACGGGAAGCAGCAGUGGGGAAUAUUGGAAAAUGGGCGAAAGCCUGAUCCAGCAAUGCCGCGUGAGUGAUGAAGGCCUUAGGGUUGUAAAGCUCUUUUACCCGGGAUGAUAAUGACAGUACCGGGAGAAUAAGCUCCGGCUAACUCCGUG